GAUGAAGAACGCAGCGAAAUGCGAUAAGUAGUGUGAAUUGCAGAAUUCUGGAAUCAUCGAAUCUUUGAACGCACAUUGCGCCUUCUGGUAUUCCGGAAGGCAUGCCUGUUCGAGAGUCAUUAACAACCGUUUCGAUCCCUUUCUUUCAGAAAUUACAAAGAGGAAAAGGGUUUGGUUAUGGUGGAGGAGGGAAAGGGAGCGUUUAGCCUGUAAAAAAAGAGGCUGUGUUCCGCCUCCCCCCCAAAAUUGUACAGGCGGUCGUGUGCGCCCACGCAUCGAGGUGUUGUAAAAGCUGCCACGGCACUUUUCACCUGUGCAGUGCGAGAUUGGCCAGCCGGUUUAAAAACCCCUCCAAACAAUCAAAGGUUGACCUCGGAUCAGGUAGGGAUACCCGCUGAACUUAAGCAUAUCAUAAGCGGAGGA
rnacentral:misc_RNA from 1 species